AGAGUUUGAUCGUGGCUCAGAAUCAACGCUGGCGGCGUGCCUAACACAUGCAAGUCGAACGCGAAAGGGGCUUCGGUCCUGAGUAGAGUGGCGAACGGGUGAGUAACACGUGGGUGAUCUACCUUCGAGUGGGGGAUAACGUUCCGAAAGGAACGCUAAUACCGCAUGACGUUCCGGGUUUAAAGACCUGGAAACCAAAGCCGGGGACCGCAAGGCCUGGCGCUUGAAGAGGAGCCCGCGUCCGAUUAGCUAGUUGGCGGGGUAAUGGCCCACCAAGGCGACGAUCGGUAGCCGGCCUGAGAGGGCGGACGGCCACACUGGAACUGAGACACGGUCCAGACUCCUACGGGAGGCAGCAGUGGGGAAUUGUUCACAAUGGGCGCAAGCCUGAUGACGCAACGCCGCGUGGGGGAUGAAGGUCUUCGGAUUGUAAACCCCUGUCGAAUGGGACGAAAGACCCGGGAGCUAAUCAUCCCGGGAGUGACGGUACCGUUAAAGGAAGCCACGGCUAACUCUGUGCCAGCCGCCGCGGU
rnacentral:rRNA from 1 species